CGUGUAGGCGGUCUGUUAAGUCUGAUGUGAAAGCCCUGGGCUCAACCCAGGAAGUGCAUUGGAAACUGGCAGACUUGAGUACGGGAGAGGAAAGUGGAAUUCCGAGUGUAGGGGUGAAAUCCGUAGAUAUUCGGAGGAACACCAGUGGCGAAGGCGGCCUUCUGGACCGAUACUGACGCUGAGACGCGAAAGCGUGGGGAGCAAACA
rnacentral:rRNA from 1 species